UCCGAUAUGGUGUAGUGGCUAACAUUCUCGCCUCUCGUAUGAUUCAUUUACUUAACCGUUUGGAACGCGAUAGCCCGGAGCUCAAUUCCCUGUGUCAGAA